rnacentral:lncRNA from 1 species
UUUUUGGGAAUUUAAAAUGAAUUUUUGGGACUUUUUUGGGAUUUGAAAUGAAAUUUUUGGGAUUUUUUCCUGGAAUUUUUUGGGAUUUUAUUUUGGGGAAUUUUAAACGAAUUUUGGGGUUUUUUUUGUCUGAAAUUUUCUGUGAUUUUUUUGGGGGAUUUUUUGGGGAAUUUUUUUGGGUUUUUGGGUGAAUUUUGGUGGUUUUUGGGUGAAUUUUGG